GCGUGUGCGUGUUUCAUUACUUCUGGGGCCCUACUACCACCGCUAAAAGUAAUAAUGUUUCAAUAUUGUUUUGACAAUUUCAUAUAAGUUUUAUACGAAAAUGUCAAAACAAUGUUAAAAAAUUACUAUUUUAAGCGAUGGUAGUAAGGCCCCUGUGCUAUUUUCAUACAAAGGCUCGAUGAAGAAAAUAAAUGUGCGCGCCCUUAAUAUAAUGAAUUCGAAAUCCAAUGAUCUAUGAAUUUAAGGGUCCAGUUUUUUUGAAUAAUUAGUAUGGUCCAGAAUAAAAAGUUAAAAUUCAGUUAUUUCGCAACUUUAGUAACUAUAGGCUCAUUAUUGAUAUUAUUAUGUAGGUCUAUGGACGAAAAGUUACAGUAACUAUCAACUCUACCUAAACGUAAAGUAUUAUUUGCUAUAAACUAAACUUUAUAAAGUUUUAGGUAUUAAAAGACAGCAGUGUCCAUAAAUAAUAAACAUUAUUUCGAGACUUUCGUGUUUUUCUAGUUCAUGAAAAAUAUUAAUAGAAAUAAAACGUGAAAUAAUCUGAACGCAGACUGCCUACUUUUUAGUCGUCUUCGCCAGUUGAAAGCUAAUAUAAAAUAGAUAGGACAACUAUAGGUAUUCUAUUUCACUGAGACGGCUCGUGUGCGACGUGUGGCAUCGCGCGGGUUGCGAAAGGGUGACAGUUUAAAGCCCGCCGUCAAAAAGAUCGAGUCGAACUAUAC